AUGGCAGCUCCCCUGGGUGUCCUGUCUGAGCUGACACUGCAGGAGUCGGGCCCAGGACUGGUGAAGCCGUCGCAGACCCUGUCCCUCACCUGCACCGUCUCUGGGGGCUCUGUCACAAGUAUUGAUUGGAGCUGGAUCCGCCAGCCCCCAGGGAAGAGCCUUGAGUGGAUGGGAUACAUUAGUUCUGGUGGCAGCACAGGUUAUAACCCGUCCCUCAAGAGCCGCACCUCCAUCACCAGAGACACGUCCAAGAACCAGUUCUCCCUGCAGCUGAGCUCUGUGACCGCCGAGGACACAGGCGUGUAUUACUGUGCCAGAGACACAGUGACAGGAAGUCAGCGUGAGCCGAGACACAAACCUCCAUGCAGGAUGAAGGACGGGUCUGGGCUGCAGGGGGCGCUCAAGGCCCACCCAGCUCCUGUGCCCCAUGGAGCAG